rnacentral:rRNA from 1 species
GAGUUUGAUCGUGGCUCAGGAUGAACGCUGGCGGCGUGCCUAAUACAUGCAAGUCGAGCGAACAGACGAGGAGCUUGCUCCUCUGACGUUAGCGGCGGACGGGUGAGUAACACGUGGAUAACCUACCUAUAAGACUGGGAUAACUUCGGGAAACCGGAGCUAAUACCGAAUAAUAUAUUGAACCGCAUGGUUCAAUAGUGAAAAACGGUUUUGCUGUCACUUAUAGAUGGAUCCGCGCCGCAUUAGCUAGUUGGUAGGGUAACGGCUUACCAAGGCGACGAUGCGUAGCCGACCUGAGAGGGUGAUCGGCCACACUGGAACUGAGACACGGUCCAGACUCCUACGGGAGGCAGCAGUAGGGAAUCUUCCGCAAUGGGCGAAAGCCUGACGGAGCAACGCCGCGUGAGUGAUGAAGGUCUUCGGAUCGUAAAACUCUGUUAUUAGGGAAGAACAAAUGUGU